AUGUCUCGUUAUCAUGUGGAUGGUUUUUUUAAAUCUUUUAUCUUUAUUAUGUUUAGCGUACUCAUGAAUUACAAUGUUCAACUGACAGCUGUAAAUGGCAUCGUAUCAGAAGUCAUUCAAAUAGCAUAUAGGUAUGCAACAACAGUGACUAAAGAGUAAACUUUAUAUUAUUUUAUAAUUUUGAUGAAUUAUUUUAUUUUUAAUCGAUCAGGAUCGAUAGUACUAUGAUUUAUGAAAUUGAGGUAAGCUGUAACGGCUUUUACAGAAUAUUUGAGUGGUCCAGAUUCGAGUGACGGUUUCACUGGAACGAGCGCUCGACUAGACGUAAUUCAUGUUUUGUGUGAGUGCCCCGACAGUUGUUGUUAAUUGAGUACACGAUUAAUACGUACACAUUUUCUUGGACGUGAAAUGAAAAAAAAAGAGGAAGUGAAUAACACACGACCAUAAUUUACAAUGAUUUUGAGCCCAGCGACAAGUUUGAGUUCACAGGUAUAGUAAUCAAGUUUGCGCAUCAGACCGUAUAUUAUAUCCGGACUGGGAGACGUCACCAAUUUACGGGAUUUAUAGGGCCAAUUUAUUUGGAUCACUUAUGAAAAACCGAGUUCCAUUUACACGGUUUCAUAUUGCUGUGGCAAAGAAAAAAACUGACGAAGUUUUUCUUCAAACGUUACCUGGGAAAAUGUUUAAUAUUUCUAAAAAUUCGGACCAUUUCACUAUGUAGAUACAUUAUAUUAUUAUACACAACUACGUACAAUUUACCCUAAAAGUCUUCAUAGUUAUAUGUAUUGUAUAUCGUUAAUUAUUGCAUGUCCAAUUUGUAUUUCAUAAAAAACGCGAUGCAAUUUUAGGCUUAUAUUUGUAUGACGUGUAAGUGAAUACACUUACAUUACAGAUGACAAUUUCUUGAAAUAUGUUUUGAAUUAUGUGGUUAUCAUACGAUUUACACGGCAGUUAAAAGUAAGGGAAUGAUACAGUCAUGUAGGAAAUGCGGAAAAUCCAAUCGCGGUUGCAUAAUAAUAAUAGUAAUAAUAAUAAUAAUAAUCAUGUGGUGGUGGUGGUUACAGCUUUAAGUUGGUUUCGCCCGCAAUACCUCGGUGUGGUUUAAAAUGAUAACAUAUAUAACAAUAUAUUACGGUGUACAAAUAAUGUACUUCGUUGGAAUUUCAUAUGACUGUGUCGUGGUGUGAAUUACAAUACGAACACGUAAUACUUUUCUGUUUGUAAUAAUCACGAGAAUCUACGGAGAAUAAUAAUUACUAAAUCUCCCGGGUUUGUUCGAUUUGUCGUCACGAAAGAUAUCAUAUAAUGUUAUUGUUAUUCGACUCACCAUUUUUCACGGUUUGUUAUAAAAGUUCACUCGGUAUAACGAUAAUUUACUUCAAUCAGAUCAUUAUAAUAUGUUAAAUAAAUAAUAUUAUAUUAUGACGCCGUCGUUAAACCACUCGGAUCUAGUGAUAUUCGAGACCGAUGUCUAGACUCUGGCCGAAUAGAAUGCCGCGGUGAAGGUUUUGUACGGGCUCGGAUAAUUGAUGCCUUUACGGAUGGAGUAAUAUCAUGAUUGCGAUUAAGCACAGUCGUCGAUCGUUGUGGUGCCGGGUAAACAAAUUGUGCAGACCAUGUUUUGCAGAUAAUAAAAGACAGUUGGCUUCGCUCGAGUGUCCGUCGUUAUUCGCCGGCGUAAGGGUAGGUGCUGUUAAAAACCAAUAAAACUUGGUGUACAACAAUAGCUACACGUUUCGCUCGUUACUUAUUUCAUUUU